GAUGAACGCUGGCGGCGUGCCUAAUACAUGCAAGUCGAGCGAACGGACGAGAAGCUUGCUUCUCUGAUGUUAGCGGCGGACGGGUGAGUAACACGUGGAUAACCUACCUAUAAGACUGGGAUAACUUCGGGAAACCGGAGAUACUACCGGAUAAUAUUUUGAACCGCAUGGAUCAAAAGUGAAAGACGGUCUUGCUGUCACAUAUAGAUGGAUCAGCGCUGGAUUAGCUAGUUGGUAAGGUAACGGCUCACCAAGGCAACGAUGCAUAGCCGACCUGAGAGGCUGACCAGCCACACUGGAACUGAGCCAGUGUCCAGACUCCUACGGGAGGACGCAGUGGGCAAUGUUGGACAGUGUGCGCAAACCUGCUACAGCCAUACAGCGUGGGUGAAGAAGGCCUUCGGGUUGUACAGACCUUUUGUUGGGAAAGAAAAGCAGCAGGUUAAUACCCCGCUGUUCUGACGGUACCCAAAGAAUAAGCACCGGCUAACUUCGUG
rnacentral:rRNA from 1 species